rnacentral:lncRNA from 1 species
AAGCAAUUUGCUCAUAGCCAUAGCUUUCUUGUGAAAGUAGGAUAUUAACCCAGGUGUCUUGGUGCUGGAGAACAGAACUGGCCAGAGUCCAUCCUGUCUCCCACCGGCAUCCCAUUACGAAAUGAACACAGAAAAGGCAGGUCUGCAAUGCCAACAUCUAGUAUCUAUCCCAAAGACCAGGGAGAAAGGAAGGAAAGAUUCUGGUUCUGUCCUCUUCCCCAAGGCAAGGCUGGCUGCCCUACCAACAGAGGCAAAGAGAAGAGUGUGCAAGGCUGGCUGCCCUCCCAACAGAGGCAAAGAGGAGUGUGUGUUGAAAUAUCCAUUGAAUCCCUGAGACAACUGGAUCCUGGCCCAUUGAAUCAUAAACUCAUUUCAGAGAAGAUGAAACUGAUGUGCGUCAAAAAGUUAUGGAGGCUGGGAAGACCUAGAAUGUGGCAUCACUAUUUGGUAAGAACCUUCCUAUGUCAUUGUAGAGUGAGGGACUUGGGUACCACAUGGCAAGGCAUAGUACCCAAAUCCCUUUCCUUCAUAAAAGUAUUAAUGUCAUCAAAGAGGCCCCACCACCAUGAUGCCAUCUGGGGCCUCAUGACCCCAAUGCCUGAUGCCAAAGACUCCCACCUCAAAAUACUUUUUUCUUCAGCAUAACAUUUUAUUAAUUAUCUGGGAAUUUCACAUCAUGUACUCCAAUCACACUCAGUUCCCAGUCCUUCCAUGUCAGCCCCCACCCUUGUUACUUGCCCCCCAAAAGAGGAAAAUUAAAACUAAGAAUUAAAAAAAAUUAAAAAAAUUAAAAUACACAAGUCCAAUUUAUGUUACCUAUAUACUCACUGAAGCAUGGUCAGAUUCUCAGUGGCCUGGCCCUUAAAUAGAAGUGAGUCUUCCCCCUCCUGCAUCUGAAGCCAUUAAUUGCGUAGAGCUACACUUCAACAUCUACAUCACACUUUCAAAGAGUUCUCUUCAGUGGAUUCCUGUUCUAGACCAUUACUUUGGAGACAGGGGUAGGGGAUUGUCACAAAAAGCCUUCCAUGUCCCUUCGUCUCAGUUGUACACCUGCAGUCAUCAAUAUCCCAGUGUAACUAGUCCCCUUGUUCUUCAUAGUUAGUGGAAACAUGGAUCAUGGGCCUCUCAAGGUUUCUGAUAACAUCCCAGACCAUGAACAUGGCCCUCAGGUGCAGGAGGACCACAGAUCCAGACAAAGACCAGAUCACAGCCAUAAAAAUAGCCUCAGGUGGCAGCAAAGGCCACUCAGAUUAGUAUGGCCUUUGGUGGCAGCACUAUCCAUAAACAUCAACGUAGCUUCAGGCAGCAGCACAGACUGUGAACAUCUCAUGGUCUUCAGUGGUAACACAAGCCAUGGAUAUCUACCUACAGCAGAACCAUAUAUAGAUUUGAUAAGUUUCCACACAUGAACCCAGGACACAUUUAAAUCAUGGCAGUCUACAUCCUGAUCCUUCCCUUGUC